GAUGAACGCUGGCGGCGUGCCUAAUACAUGCAAGUCGAGCGAACAGACGAGGAGCUUGCUCCUCUGACGUUAGUGGCGGACGGGUGAGUAACACGUGGAUAACCUACCUAUAAGACUGGGAUAACUUCGGGAAACCGGAGCUAAUACCGGAUAAUAUAUUGAACCGCAUGGUUCAAUAGUGAAAGACGGUUUUGCUGUCACUUAUAGAUGGAUCCGCGCCGCAUUAGCUAGUUGGUAAGGUAACGGCUUACCAAGGCAACGAUGCGUAGCCGACCUGAGAGGGAGAUCGGCCACACUGGAACUGAGACACGGUCCAGACUCCUACGGGAGGCAGCAGUAGGGAAUCUUCCGCAAUGGGCGAAAGCCUGACGGAGCAACGCCGCGUGAGUGAUGAAGGUCUUCGGAUCGUAAAACUCUGUUAUUAGGGAAGAACAAAUGUGUAAGUAACUAUGCACGUCUUGACGGUACCUAAUCAGAAAGCCACGGCUAACUACGUG
rnacentral:rRNA from 1 species